CCUACGGGUGGCAGCAGUGAGGAAUAUUGGUCAAUGGACGAGAGUCUGAACCAGCCAAGUAGCGUGAAGGAUGACUGCCCUAUGGGUUGUAAACUUCUUUUAUAUGGGAAUAAAAUGUUCCACGUGUGGGAUUUUGUAUGUACCAUAUGAAUAAGGAUCGGCUAACUCCGUGCCAGCAGCCGCGGUAAUACGGAGGAACCGAGCGUUAUCCGGAUUUAUUGGGUUUAAAGGGAGCGUAGGUGGAUUGUUAAGUCAGUUGUGAAAGUUUGCGGCUCAACCGUAAAAUUGCAGUUGAAACUGGCAGUCUUGAGGACAGUAGAGGUGGGCGGAAUUCGUGGUGUAGCGGUGAAAUGCUUAGAUAUCACGAAGAACUCCGAUUGCGAAGGCAGUUCACUGGACUGCAACUGACACUGAGGCUCGAAAGUGUGGGUAUCAAACAGGAUUAGAUACCCUAGUAGUC
rnacentral:rRNA from 1 species